CUUUUGAAAUCAAAUCCACUGAAUCACAGACAAUAAUUGUUGCUUCAUCUCACAGGGAUUGUGAGCAAUAAAUGAACUGCUCCAGGACCUCAUCACCGAAGAUCAUUGUUUCCACAGAUGUUAUACCUCUAGAGUUACUGCAUCUGGAUCCAUCCAGCUCACUGCAAACGAGAUCCAAAAGGCACUAGAAAAACUCCUGGAUGAUAACUCUUGUCUGUGCUCUUCUACAUAUAUACAUGUAUAUGUCCUGUAAAUGAUCAGUACUGGUUAUGGAGCACUGUCAGAAACAGGAAAUUACGCGAGAGGUAUCUGUCCUCCGCUUGCUGAAAUGGCCUUCAGAAGAGAUUCCUUGCUGGAGCCUCCUCUAUGCUGAUACACAAGCAAUUGCAACAGUGGGGAACAGCCUUCAGUAUCAGAGCCUCCUGGAUUUGGUCACAGAUCAGGAGCUUCAUUCAGCAGAUACUACAGGUACUGUUGGCCUGGAGAAGAUUUCUGGAGAGGGUCAUUACUGCCGGGUGGUCAAGCUGCAUCCAGCUGUAUAGGGAGCUUGCAGUCUCCUGUGCCAAGAAGUGAUCCUCACAGUGGCUCUGGGCAGAUGUUCUCCCCUGGCUCCAGCUGUGCCACCUGACACAGCAUUGUUUCAGCUCAGGGCUCUCUUGGGGCUCUUGACUGCCUACCACCUGGAGGUAUCUCUUCAUCUGCCCACAGCACUCCCUCACCUGUGUUGUGAAUCACAUUGACUCAUAUUCAUCUUUAAAAGGAAGGCAGGUUACGAUGAACCAGCUCUUUUAUUAUUAUUAUUAUUAUUUCCUGAAGAAGAUGAGGGAGCAUUCACAAGGCCCCUUCUGCUGGCAGAUCUGUGGCAGCAGUAACCUCCAGCACAGAUGUGGUGAUGGCAGCUAGGAAUGGUACUGUCUCCAGAUGGUAUAGCUGUUUGCAAAGUGAAUGCCUGUAUACUUAUAAAUAGAUACAUAUAUGUAUUUACAGCUUGUGUAUUUCUCCUUUAGAAUAUAAAUGAACUGCAGUCUACAGUGAGCAGGCUCAUCUCAGUUUCCUAAUAAAGUGGUUACUUCUGCCA
rnacentral:lncRNA from 1 species